rnacentral:rRNA from 1 species
AUGAUAAGAUCAAGAAGAGUUGGCGGUACUCAUCUUUCAGACCGAUCCAAGGUGAUCCUUAGACCAGACUUUUAUUACACCCACACAGCGACGGGGCUCAGUACACUGUGCGCAGUUGGCGUCGUCAUGGUAGCUGCGUCCUUGUUGACUUGGACUGAUUGGCUGACUCCAUCGGCCGUUUCCUGCAUUUUUCUCCCGAGGACAGCAGGCCUGUGGCUCACCUUCAUUCUGAGGAUUCCUGAUCCAUGUUCCAAGAUACACGUCGCCGUCUUCCUGCGGACUAGCCGCCGCCCGCCGGCCGGCGGUCGGUCAUCGGUUCACACUGCUGCGUCCGAGUCAGAUAAUUAA